rfam:Schistosoma mansoni strain Puerto Rico chromosome 3, complete genome
GCACUGUUGAGAAGUCCCACAAUAGGACGAAACGGCCGUCCAGUGC